rnacentral:misc_RNA from 1 species
AUCAUGCGUACCUAGCGAGUUACCUAUAAAUGGGAUUCGCUACAAGGUCGGAAUAGCAUGUCCCUGGACCAGCUAACAGAUUCCAUAGAGAGCCAUCAAUUACCGAGAGUAUCGAUAUUGGAAAGGGUCAUUUCAAGUAGAUUUCCAAAAAUCAUGCGUAGAUCUGAACAUACGUACGGGGAAAAGGAUCGCUCAAGCAGGCUCCUUGGUCAAGAUUCAAGCAAAUUCGGUGAAAGGAAGGCUUAUUCGGCACCAAGAUUUGGUCAUCCGAAUCUUAUCCCUGGUUCCCGAUCAAGUCGCUUCUACAAUGUACAAGUGGAAGACAAAUCGUGCUCGCCUACAUCUCGUCGGUCAAAGCUUCUCACCGAGAGUCACCCUAGCAUCAAAACAAGACAAAACUCCUCCAAAACAUGUGAGGGAUUGAACCCGGAGAGCGGCGAAGACGAUGAUGAUCUUGAUGAUGAUCACAUACAUUUACCAAAACUAAAACCCAAGGAAGCAGAGUUCUUACAAUAUGUUGCCGAAGAUGACAUACCAGGCCUUACAAAGUUUAUGGAAUGCGUAUGUUUUGCGACUGAACUGAAUGUGAACUGCACAAACUUUCAGGGAGUGUCGGCGCUCCACAUAGCCAUACAAAACAGAUCCCAUGAGAUGGUUGAAUUUCUCUUGAAGCUUCCGUAUCUGGAGAUCGGUGACGGUGUAUUGCAGGCGAUCCGCUGUAACGAUAUACGAAUUGGGGAGAUUCUGUUGGACGCUCAGCAGAAAAUAUCGCCGGGAUUAGAAUUCGCGGGUGCGGCUCACUCAGCGGACUUCCCGCCACACGUGACUCCGCUCAUCCUCGCAGCUCAGAUGGGGCAUUACGAAAUAGUCUCGUGUCUCAUAAGUCGAGGACACACGAUCAACCGUCCUCAUUUAGCUAACUGUCCGUGUGGUUGCUGCAGGGCUGGUUGUUCGCAUGAUGACCCCCUGCACGAGAGCAGCAUGCGACUGUCACAGUAUCGCGCUAUCGCGUCCCCGGCUUACAUGGUGCACGUAUCCUCGGACCCCGUACUGACCUCGUUCUGCCUCGCUGCCGAACUCGCGGAGAACGCUGCCACUUACAGACAAUUGGCUGCAGCCUAUCUACAGGUAGCCGAUGACGUCAGCGCGUUCGCCGUUGACCUCAUAGGAUGUUGUCGAACCGCUGAAGAAGUGGAAUUAGUUCUAAAGCAAACUUCAGGAUGUAAGGGACGUCGACACUUCGUAUUACCACGGUUGCUCAUGGCUGUUGACUACAAACAGAAGGAAUUUGUCGCUCAUCCCAAUACUCAACAGGUGCUAGAGUCUUACUGGCUUGGUAAUUGGGAAGGUUGGAGAACCAAAUCCUUGUUGGCAAAAGCUGGUACAUUUCUAAUACGAGUAUUCAUUACUCCAGUCAUGCUUAUAGUUUGCAUGGUAGCGCCGCGUCAUCGCCUCGUAGCACACUGGCAGAUACCGUUGAACAAACUGAUUACUCACGUCGCCGCAUACUUUGUGUUCCUUGCCCUAAUCUUCUAUAUUUCUAAUCAAGAUAAAUUUUGUCUGAAGCGAGGACCCCCAAACACAGGUGCGGAGGCUCCACUGAUUUUGUAUGUGUGUGGCUAUGCCUGGUCAGCUCUCCGCAUGAUCGUGAUGCAAGGUCCAUACCGCUACUUCACUAAGAUGUGGAACUGGACUGAGAUCAUGAUGCUCACUCUGUUUACCUUAACUUUCGUCUUUUGGGUGUUAGCGGCCAUCGAUGUCGCCAUUUAUGAUGAGGAGGAUUUAGAACGCAAAUUUUGGUCUCAGCACGACCCGACUUUAUUAGCCGAGGGCACGUUCUGCCUGGCGACUAUAUUCGCUUUCUUCCGACUUAUGUUCCUGUGCCAGUUGAACUACCAUCUAGGGCCGCUGCAGGUAUCAUUAGGGAAAAUGACUAUCGACAUUUACAAGUACAUAAUAAUAUUUGCAAUAAUUAUAAGCGCAUUUACCGCUGGCCUCGCGCGUUUCUAUCAAUAUUACGACGGCAUGGUAUACGAAGAUGAAUUCGGAAUGAAGACUGUACAGGUAUCGUCAUUCACGAGCUUAACCGAUACUCUGAACACUUUAUUCUGGGCUUUGUUUUGUAUGGCUCCUUUGGAAAGUGCCGACGUGGUGCUGGAAAAUACGCGGGACCACGCAGAAAAAGCUCAUGAGAAUAGACACUCGUACACGGAACGUAUCGGAUACUUUUGUUUUGGGUGUAUACAUAGACUACAUGCUGCAGACCACACUGCCGUCACCCUUGAACUUAAUCCCCACGGCUGCAGGUGUGGGUAGUCUCGUGGAGUGGAUCCGUGCUCGACGCAAUCGCAGCCAAGGCGUCUGCGCUCGGUGGUCUCCUCAGUACUGCUGUUACAUAGAGCGUGAUGUGGAAGCACCGAAUCAUAAGGAGUAUCCAGCUCUGAUGUCGGUCCUGGUACAGCGGUACUUCAGAGACAAGGAUUGCUCACUCGUCACUGCUAACCGGAUCGAGAGCGAAUUGGCGUCUAUGC